rnacentral:rRNA from 1 species
UACGUAGGGGGGCAAGCGUUGUCCGGAAUCAUUGGGCGUAAAGCGCGCGUAGGUGGCCUCAUAAGUCCGCUGUGAAAGUCAAAGGCUCAACCUUUGAAAGCCGGUGGAUACUGUGAGGCUAGAGUACGGAAGAGGCGAGUGGAAUUCCUGGUGUAGCGGUGGAAUGCGCAGAUAUCAGGAGGAACACCAAUAGCGAAGGCAGCUCGCUGGGACGUUACUGACACUGAGGCGCGAAAGCGUGGGGAGCGAACAGG